rnacentral:rRNA from 1 species
GGGGUGCUCGAGUGGCGAACGGGUGAGUAACACGUGAGUAACCUGCCCUUGACUUUGGGAUAACUUCAGGAAACUGGGGCUAAUACCGGAUAGGAGCUCCCGCUGCAUGGUGGGGGUUGGAAAGUUUCGGCGGUUGGGGAUGGACUCGCGGCUUAUCAGCUUGUUGGUGGGGUAGUGGCUUACCAAGGCUUUGACGGGUGGCCGGCCUGAGAGGGUGACCGGCCACAUUGGGACUGAGAUACGGCCCAG